UACGUAGGGUGCGAGCGUUGUCCGGAAUUAUUGGGCGUAAAGGGCUCGUAGGCGGUCUAUCGCGUCGGGAGUGAAAACUCGGGGCUUAACUCCGAGCCUGCUUCUGAUACGGGCAGACUAGAGGUAUGCAGGGGAGAAUGGAAUUCCUGGUGUAGCGGUGAAAUGCGCAGAUAUCAGGAGGAACACCGGUGGCGAAGGCGGUUCUCUGGGCAUGACCUGACGCUGAGGAGCGAAAGUGUGGGGAGCGAACAGG
rnacentral:rRNA from 1 species